rnacentral:rRNA from 1 species
CCUACGGGUGGCAGCAGUGGGGAAUAUUGCACAAUGGGGGAAACCCUGAUGCAGCGACGCCGCGUGAGUGAAGAAGUCUUUCUGUAUGUAAAGCUCUAUCAGCAGGGAAGAAAAUGACGGUACCUGAUUAAGACGCCCCGGCUCACUCCGUGCCAGCCGCCGCGGUAAUACGUAGGGGGCAAGCGUUAUCCGGAUUUACUGGGUGUAAAGGGAGCGUAGACGGCAGGACAAGUUUGGGGUGAAAUGCCGGGGCUUAACCCCGGAACUGCUUUGGAAACUGUGCGGCUAGCGUGCAGGAGCGGUAAGUGGAAUGCCUGGUGUAGCGGUGAAAUGCGUAGAUAUUA